CAAAGGCAGUGGUUCUCAACCUUCCUGAUGCUGUGAUGCUUCAAUACAGUUCCUCAUGUUGUGUUGACCACCCUGCAACCUUAAUUAUUUUCAUUGCUACUUCAUAACUGUAAUUUUGCUACUGUUAUGAACUGUAAUGUAAAUAUCUGUGCUUUCCAAUGGCCUUAAGGGACUCCUGUGAAAGGAUCAUUUGAUCCAUGAAGUUUCGGUCCUUAGUCCUUUUCAACCUUUUGUCACUUGAACCACAGGUGGAAAACCAAUGCUCUGAGGGUUGGGAAUAGGAAUGAGAAGAAAACACGCAAUGGGAGGCACAGUUAAGGUGUGGACUUUGGCUCUGAAGGACAGUGACCUCAAUGGGAAAGCC
rnacentral:lncRNA from 1 species